CCGGAAGGAUCCAGGAUUCCUUAGUGUUCCACAGAACUUUAUUUUUCAAGUCAAGAGUCCUACUAUAUCCAAUGCUUCAUGUUUCCUUAGGCAAAGUCCGCUCAAACUGUUGGCUUGGAAAUAACCUGGAAGACCAUAGGGACCAGUGUCUCACACACAGGCUCUAAAGGACUCCUUGCCCUUGAAAAAAUCUCAAUGACCGUCCACUCCAGAAAUUCAACUAGAGAUACAUCUGCAUAACCAGGCACUUUCCAUUGAACAUGGGCCUUAAGGAAAAUUUGUCUUGACUCUUAUUUGGAGACAAAAGGGGAAAAAAUCCAAGGUAUUUUCUUCUAACAGAAGCAAGAAGUAGUAUAAUACUUUCCUGUGAGGCUGGGCAGUGGCAGGAAGUCACAGAUCCUGGGAUUCCUGGUGAAAGGGGCAGCUGAUUCACGUAGACAUUCAGGGAUUCAGUCAAAUGGAUUCUGUUUUUCAACCUGUUGCCUACAAGAGUGUGAUUGUUUUCUCUACAC